UGGGGAAUUGUUCACAAUGGGCGCAAGCCUGAUGACGCAACGCCGCGUGGGGGAUGAAGGUCUUCGGAUUGUAAACCCCUGUCGAAUGGGACGAAAGACUCGCGAGUUAAUACUUCGCGGGAGUGACGGUACCGUUAAAGGAAGCCACGGCUAACUCUGUGCCAGCAGCCGCGGUAAUACAGAGGUGGCAAGCGUUGUUCGGAAUUACUGGGCGUAAAGGGCGCGUAGGCGGCCUACUAAGUCAGACGUGAAAUCCCCCGGCUUAACCUGGGAACUGCGUCUGAUACUGGAAGGCUUGAGUAUGGGAGAGGGAUGUAGAAUUCCAGGUGUAGCGGUGAAAUGCGUAGAUAUCUGGAGGAAUACCGGUGGCGAAGGCGGCAUCCUGGACCAUUACUGACGCUGAGGCGCGAAAGCUAGGGGAGCAAACAGGAUUAGAUACCCAAGUAGUCCCUGAGCGGGCUGGCAAGGCGCAU
rnacentral:rRNA from 1 species